rnacentral:rRNA from 1 species
CCUACGGGUGGCAGCAGUGAGGAAUAUUGGUCAAUGGGCGGAAGCCUGAACCAGCCAAGUCGCGUGAGGGAUUAAGGCCCUGCGGGUCGUAAACCUCUUUUGCCGGGGAGCAGAGGUCCGGACGUGUCCGGGCCGGGAGAGUACCCGGAGAAAAAGCAUCGGCUAACUCCGUGCCAGCAGCCGGGGUAGUUCGGAGGAUGGGAGCGUUAUCCGGUUUUAUUGGGUUUAAAGGGUGCGCAGGCGGAUUUUUAAGUCAGCGGUCAAGUCGUGGGGCUAAACCCCAUCCAGCCGUUGAAACUGGGGAUCUAGAGUGUGCGAGAGGAAUGCGGAAUGCGUGGUGUAGCGGUGAAAUGCAUAGAUAUCACGCAGAACCCCGAUUGCGAAGGCAGCAUACCGGUGCACAACUGACGCUCAGGCACGAAAGCGUGGGUAUCGAACAGGAUUAGAUACCCUAGUAGUC